rnacentral:rRNA from 1 species
UCGGGAAUUUUGGGCAAUGGGCGAAAGCCUGACCCAGCAACGCCGCGUGAGGGAUGAAGUAUUUCGGUAUGUAAACCUCGAAAGAAUGGGAAGAAUAAAUGACGGUACCAUUUAUAAGCUCCGGCUAACUACGUGCCAGCAGCCGCGGUAAUACGUAGGGAGCAAGCGUUGUUCGGAUUUACUGGGCGUAAAGGGCGCGUAGGCGGCGCGGUAAGUCACUUGUGAAAUCUCUGAGCUUAACUCAGAACGGCCAAGUGAUACUGCUGUGCUAGAGUGCGGAAGAGGCAACCGGAAUUCUUGGUGUAGCGGUGAAAUGCGUAGAUAUCAAGAGGAACACCUGAGGCGAAGGCGGGUUGCUGGCCCGACACUGACGCUGAUGCGCGAAAGCCAGGGGAGC